rnacentral:lncRNA from 1 species
CCAAUGCUCAACUCGGAAUAGUCCUCCCAUAUGAAGAAAGGAGAUCAUGCGGUAGACCCUCCAAAUAAUACGUCUGGCCACCAUACGAAUACCUCUAUGCUUCGCAUCAUUCCUCUCAGUCCAUAGAAACCAAAAUAUCAGUAGAGGAAUGAUAAUACGAAUGUGCCCACGGCAAACGUGCUGUCCAGAAUACCGCCAUCUCUGGAACCUCUGUCUGACCCCCUCUCCUGAAGUCAUAGGUAUCUGAAAGAUGUCUCCAAAGUGCUGCCAUACCUGGUCGGAGAUGCUACUGCUCGUGAAAAUAUGAU